rnacentral:lncRNA from 1 species
AGCAGACGAGGGCGCAGAUCUUGAAUAAAUGCAACCGAUGGGACGCGCAUGUCCUGAAUACGGCUCUGACACACGGAGAGGCGCCCACGUUCCUCGACGUGACCCACCUGAGUUUUCGGACGGCGCACUGCAGCCACAACUGCACAGGGCUACAGCUGCACCAUCCUAACCCUCCCUUGUGACAUUCGUCAUAGGGCACUCAUCGCCCAUGCUGCCUAACGAAGAAGAGUGCGCCGCCC